UUGGGUGUAGCCAAGCGGUAAGGCACAGGGCUUUGAACUCUGCAUUCGAUGGUUCGAAUCCAUCCACCCAAACCA
rnacentral:tRNA from 1 species